GCCCAGGGUUUAGUACCACCAGAGGCAGGAACAUGCUACCAUCACAAGACUGGAGCAGAAGAUCCUGAGAGGCUUGCUCAUCAGCAGAUGAAAUAAUGGGUCCAAAAAGAAGAGAAGUUGACUGAUUUCCUCAUGUCUCACAGGCAAUAGAUGGUAGAAUCGGAGUAAGAAGGUUCUCCAGUAUCUGGUGCUUUCCCCUGAAUUUGUUCACAAUGUACAGCUCAGUGAUGCCUGAGAAAACAUCUUUGUUGUCCUGAGGCUGGCCAGAGAUAGACAUUUGACUCCAUGGUUACUUGGAGAGGUGGUACAUCCUCUUAGGGUAAAUGGGCUCAUGCUGGAAAGCACCACGGACCACCCAGGAUCAUGACAGCAUUCCCAGGGUCAGAAGCAACAUAUGGAGAAACCCCUUAUCCUGAAUGCAUCUAGGUCAGGUUUGAGCUGUAACUCCUGCCCAGAUUUAGGGGAGCUAGAGCAGAAAGUUUAAUGUCUGAUAUUGGGAUCCCAAGGUUAGAGUUCCAGCCCCACUGCUGAUUGGUUGUAGAACCUGGGAGACCUGCCACUUCCCUUCUCAGUUUCUUUUUGUGAGAAAGGGGAGGCAAACAUCUGACCUCACAGAAGCACUGAAAGUUAUCAUCUGAAAGAAUGGCCAUAAGAUUGUUACUGUCACCUCAGUUCUCUUCUUCUCCAUUGCUUCUGUGGACUCUCAUAGCAAAUCCCUUCUAAUUUGUCUUGAGAAGAAAAUACCCAGGGCCAGUAUUGCUUCUCUUAGCCAGCCAAUUAGUCAAAAAAAUACUUUCUGAUGUCCCAGAAAGAAGCUUAUCUGUGCUGGGCAAUGUCUAGGAUAUGGAGAGGAAUUCAACCACACAGCUGUUGCCUUUGAAGAGAUCACAGAGAAGCUGUCAUUCUGAGGGAACAGGAGGUAGCAGUAAAUACUGUAACAAAGGGAUAAAGGAUAUAAGAAUACAAAGGAGCAAUCAACUGACCAAGCUGUGGCAUUAAUUAAAGACUUCAGAUAUGAAACGUUUAAGUAAGUCCUAAAAAAUUGAGCAUGUUUUCACCCAGGUAAUGCAGUGAGAGGAAGCGCCUUCCAGACAGGAGAAACAAGUACAAAAACCAAGAGACUUGAAACAACUUGGACUGUUGAAGGAAAUGGCCUGAAACAUAAGAAGCAGGAAGUAGUAGUAAAUAGUGCAGUAAUAAAUAGUUAAGCUAGAAAGCUGGAAAGCAGCCAGAUCAUGAGGGGCCUUGCAUGCUGGGCUGAAAAGUGGUCUUCAUUCCAGGCAAAUUAUGUAAUGCUGUCAUGCAGUUCAGUAGCCCCAUUUGUCAUGCAAAAUUACAGACUACGUUUCCAUUUCGUGAAACUGCCCACUUUAAAAGGCAACAUCAAUUUCAGACAAUACUGAUAUGUUAAUAUUUAUUCCAAAAGCUGCCUUUCCUUGUGCAGGGAUAGUUUUCAACAAUCACUCUUGAGACAUCUGCUUUUCGUGCCCUGCAGCUAGUGGUACUCAUGUGUGCAGGGCACUCACAUUUUAGUGAAUGAGGGGAAAAAAAGCGAGUGACAGGCAAGGAAUAAGAGGUGAGGUUUAGAAAACUUUGGGGUUCUCUACCCUUCUCCCAACCAUCCCACUAUUCUUCAAUUCUUUUCUCUCUUCCCAUGCAGAAUGGAAUCUCCUAAGAAACAAUCACACUCUCACACAGGGUAACUAAUAGUAUUCCAAGUAUCUGAGGAUUGGAAAGAAGUGGGCCAAGAACCAUUUGAAUUACUGUGUGGGUGAACCUGAUCGUGUGUGCACGAUGAUUUGUCUACUUCAGUGUUUAAGCAAGGGGGGGCCCUAAAGCCAACGAACAUCCACAGUAAUUAACAAAUAUUCAGCAAAUAAUAAAUAACAGAUGUCUAUGGGAACCAACAGUUUCAAUAGCCCUGGGUCAAUUCUCUACUGAAAAUCCACAGUGGCUUUGUGGACAUGGGAUACAACACCCAG